CCCCUUUGCCUCCUAAAAAGCAGAGUGAAGCCAAUCUGAUUUUUAAUUCAUGGAUAUUCUUACAACUUCCACUUCUACAUCUUUUGCAUUCUUUGUGGAUGCACCAAACAGCAUGCAAGAAUGUCAGUUUCUCCUUCACAUUCUUAUCUUCAUGUUCUGAUUGUGACUCACUGAGGAUGGAGCCCUGAAUGACCUUGGUUAGGUUGCUUAUUAUCCCAUUUUCUUGAGAUGAUAGGUGUAGAUUUUUCAGUAAGGUAGUUGAAAGUAUAAAAUAAAAUAACAUUUACCUUGUAAAACAUUUUAAAGUGGAAUCUAUUCUCUUUAAUAAUAUCCUAUUUUAAUACAGCAUUUUGUAGUUUUUCAGAAUGCUUCACAUUCUCAUUUACUCUUGAAUACAAUAUACAAAGUUCCUCUAUUUAGCCAUCAAAAAUUUUUACUCGUUGAUUAAACUUUUAUUGUGCCUUCCCAUUUUUUUUAACCAGUUUUGCAAGAUGAUGAAUAUAAAGUAAAUAUCAGUGUUCUUUCAAGUUUUACUUCAGUGACUGUUAUCCUAUUUGUACUAAAAUUAGUUUAAUGUUUAAUUCAUUUUUGGGCCCUGGUCUGAUAGUACCAUGAUAAUUUCAGUUAUUACUAAACAUGAUGAUAAUGGAGGUGGUGGUGAUAAUAGCAAACAUUCAUUGGAUGCUUACUAUGUGCCAAGCAUGGUUUUAAGUAUUUGACAUUCAUUAACUCAUUUAAUCCUCAUAACUCAAUAAGGUAGGUGCUAUUAGCCCUAUUUUAUAGAUGACGAUGUUGGGAGGUUAAAUAACUAACCUAAGGUUACAUAGCUAGCAAGUGUCAGAACCAAAAUGUAAACCCAGCUAGCCUGAUUCCAAACCCUGUGCACUAACUACAAUGAUGAUAAAUUCUGAAGCAAAGUACACAUGUUAAUUUGCUGAUAACUGCCUUGUAACUUUUAAAUCUGUUCUAUGAAAGUCACUUAUAUAUCUUGCCAUGGUGACAUGUAGAGUAGAAAUUAUAAAUCAUCCUUUGUUGUUGCUAUUCUUACAGUCUUGUUUCGCUCAAUGAAUUAUGAGGAAGAAGCAAAGCUGUCUUGUAAAUUUAUCUCCAUGUCUCUAUUUGGCUACUACCACUAGGAUUACCUUGUAUAAAAUAAGGGCUUUUAACACAUGAGUCCCAAGGUGCAUGUAGGAAGUUCUGUUUAUACACAGUCUAUAGCUAAAAGGGCAACCUGCACAGAGCCCUGCAGGUAGAGGAGAGGUGGUGAGAGCUAAAGUUGAUGGCUGACCAAGGGACCACUAUCUAGGGUCUAGUUGGGAUUUAUGGCUAGAGUGCUUUCUUCAAGAAGUGGCAGAAGUACAGUCAGAAGGUGGGAAGUAAGAAAAUAGUGUUGUGGGCCAUUUCUGCAAGGGACAAGGAAGAAUUUGAUUCUGAAAGAUUGUC
rnacentral:lncRNA from 1 species